rnacentral:rRNA from 1 species
GACGAACGCUGGCGGCGUGCUUAACACAUGCAAGUCGAACGGAAAGGCCCGGAGCUUGCUGCUUGCUCGUUAGGCGAACACGUGAGUGUAACGCGUGUAACCUCUACCUGUCAUUCUGAUAUAAUCUGGGGACACGGGCUCUAAUCCCGUAUGAGAUUCUGCUGCGCGUGGUGGCCUGGUGAGAGUAGGCGGUUGUGGAUCGACUCGCGGGUUAUCAGCUGGUUGGGGAGGUAGGGGAUUACCAAGGUUUUGACGGGUAGCCGGCCUGGGAGGGUGACCGGCCACAUUGGGACUGAGAGACGGCCCAGACUCGUACGGGAGGCAGCAGUGGGGAAUAUUGCACAAUGGGCGGAAGCCUGAUGCAGCAACGCCGCGUGCGGGAUGACGGCCUUCGGGUUGUAAACCGCUUUCGACUGAGACGAAGCGAGAGUGACGGUAACGGGUAAAAAAGCACCGGCUAACUACGUG